rnacentral:tmRNA from 4 species
GGGGAUGUCGGGCUUCGACGAAGCUUACGACCGAUAAAUGCUGGGGGUGGCAUGAUCGUUCAGCCACGGAAAUCACAUCCGAUCAAUUGAAUAGGUGCCAAAAAUUCACCUAAUUACGCUUUCGCCUAACAUCGUUUAGGUAAGCCAUUCCACCGCGGUGUCUACUGGCGGAUCAUGGAGUGUCAUAUUGUAGACUGGACAGUUUUCGUUUUUUUUCUUCCGGAGGCUGUUGAAUAAAUUAAAAGAAAUAGCCGUAGAUUAUUUUGUCGGUUUUCUACUUUACGGCGAAAGACUAAAUCGUCUAUCUCGGUACACAUUUAUCGGUAUAACUUUCGGACGUGGAUUCAACUUCCACCAUCUCCACCA